rnacentral:rRNA from 1 species
UUUUAUGGAGAGUUUGAUCCUGGCUCAGGAUGAACGCUGGCGGCGUGCCUAAUACAUGCAAGUCGAGCGAACGGACGAGAAGCUUGCUUCUCUGAUGUUAGCGGCGGACGGGUGAGUAACACGUGGAUAACCUACCUAUAAGACUGGGAUAACUUCGGGAAACCGGAGCUAAUACCGGAUAAUAUUUUGA